AGAGUUUGAUCCUGGCUCAGGAUGAACGCUGGCUGUGUGCCUAAUACAUGCAUGUCGAACGAAGCACUUGUGCUUAGUGGCGAAUGGGUGAGUAACACGUACUUAAUCUACCUCAAAGUUUGGGACAACGUUUGGAAACGAACGCUAAUACCGAAUAUUCCUUUUAAUCGCAUGAUUAAUUGGUAAAAGGCCCGUUUGGGUCGCUAUGAGAUGAGAGUGCGGUACAUUAGUUAGUUGGUAGGGUAAAGGCCUACCAAGACGAUGAUGUAUAGCGGGGUUGAGAAGCUGAACCGCCACACUGGGACUGAGAUACGGCCCAGACUCCUACGGGAGGCAGCAGUAGGGAAUAUUCCACAAUGAGCGAAAGCUUGAUGGAGCGACACAGCGUGCAGGAUGAAGGUCUUCGGAUCGUAAACUGCUGUUAUAAGGGAAGAAACACUUUGCUAGGAAAUGAGUAAAGCUUGACGGUACCUUAUCAGAAAGCACCGGCAAACUAUGUGCCAGCAGCCGCGGUAAUACAUAGGGUGCAAGCGUUAUCCGGAAUCAUUGGGCGUAAAGCGUCUGUAGGUGGUCUAUUAAGUCUGAAUUUAAAGCCUGGGGCUCAACCCCAGCCCGGUUCGGAUACUGAUAGACUAGAGUUAUAGAGAGGUAAGUAGAACUCCAUGUGAAGCGGUGGAAUGCGUAGAUAUAUGGAAGAAUACCAAUGGCGAAGGCAACUUACUGGAUAUAUACUGACACUCAGAGACGAAAGCGUGGGUAGCAAACAGGAUUAGAUACCCUGGUAGUCCACGCCGUAAACGCUGAUCGUUAGCCGGUGGAAUUGAUCACUGGCGCAGCUAACGCAUUAAACGAUCCGCCUGAGUAGUAUGCUCGCAAGAGUGAAACUUAAAGGAAUUGACGGGGACCCGCACAAGCGGUGGAGCAUGUGGUUUAAUUUGAAGAUACGCGAAGAACCUUACCCACUUUUGACAUCUUCCGCAACGCUAUGGAGACAUAGUUGAGGUUAACGGAAUGACAGAUGGUGCAUGGUUGUCGUCAGCUCGUGUCGUGAGAUGUUCGGUUAAGUCCGGCAACGAGCGCAACCCCUGUCUUUAGUUACUAACAUUUAGUUGAGGACUCUAGAGAGACUGCCUGGGUAACCAGGAGGAAGGUGGGGACGACGUCAAAUCAUCAUGCCUCUUACAAGUGGGGCUACACACGUGCUACAAUGGGUAAUACAAAGUGACGCUAACCGGCGACGGUACGCAAAUCACAUAAAAUUAUUCUCAGUUCGGAUUGGAGUCUGCAACUCGACUCCAUGAAGUCGGAAUCGCUAGUAAUCGUAGGUCAGCAAUACUACGGUGAAUACGUUCUCGGGUCUUGUACACACCGCCCGUCACACCAUGGGAGCUGGUAAUGCCCGAAGCCGGAUAGAUAACUUCGGAGUCUACUGUCUAAGGCAGGGCCGGUGACUAGGGUGAAGUCGUAACAAGGUAUCCCUACGAGAACGUGGGGAUGGAUCACCU
rnacentral:rRNA from 1 species